rnacentral:rRNA from 1 species
AUUGAACGCUGGCGGCAGGCCUAACACAUGCAAGUCGAACGAGUGGCGGACGGGUGAGUAAUGUCUGGGAAACUGCCCGCUGGAGGGGGAUAACUACUGGAAACGGUAGCUAAUACCGCAUACCAUCGGAUGUGCCCAGAUGGGCUUAGCUUGUAGGUGAGGUAACGGCUCACCUAGGCGACGAUCCCUAGCUGGUCUGAGAGGAUGACCAGCCACCCUGGAACUGAGACACGGUCCAGACUCCGUCGGGAGUCAGCAGGGGGGAAUAUUGCACAAUCGUCGCAAGCCUGAUGCAGCCAGGCCGCGUGUAUGAAGAAGGCCUGCGGGUUGUAAAGUACUUUCAGCGGGGAGGCGGUACCCGCAGAAGAAGCACCGGCGAACUCCGUGCCAGCCGCCGCGGUAAUAC